GCUCCAGUGGCGCAAUCGGUCAGCGCGCGGUUCUUAUAAGACAGUACGAUACUUAGCAAUGCCGAGGUUGUGAGUUCAAGCCUCACCUGGAGCA
rnacentral:tRNA from 1 species